rnacentral:rRNA from 1 species
UACGGAGGAUGCAAGCGUUAUCCGGAUUUAUUGGGCGUAAAGCGUCCGCAGGUGGCUAUUCAAGUCUGCUGUCAAAGCUCGGAGCUUAACUCCGAAUCGGCGGUGGAAACUGAACAGCUAGAGUGCAGUAGGGGUAGAGGGAAUUCCCAGUGUAGCGGUGAAAUGCGUAGAGAUUGGGAAGAACACCGGUGGCGAAAGCGCUCUACUGGACUGCAACUGACACUCAGGGACGAAAGCUAGGGGAGCGAAUGGG